UCAAUUGAAAAUAUGAAACAAAUAUUUUUACCACACAUUCAAAAGAUAUAAUCAUUCCAGCACACCGAUUAUUAAACGUUUGCUUACCCUUUGAUAAGACUUUUACACAAUCUAUCCUUUUUGUACUCGCUCUAUGCCGAACAAAAAUUUUACAUGGACUGAGGCACGUGUAACAGUCGUAACGAAAAAACUGGAUAUUUAAUUUUAUUUUUCUACGUGGUAGCGCGCAUCGCCAGCUGCGUAAACAAAUUGACAUUGAGACUUGUAAGUUUGAUCAUUGUGUCCCAAAAACAUCUGUAUCAAUAGUGUCUUUAUCUCUUGGAAUAUAUAGCACCUCUUUUGCCAUUUGGUCCGGAUGGAAGUACAAUAAUUCAAGCAUGUUACAAUUAAGAAUCGGCUGCAAUAUUUGAGCGCAUUUUUCCGAUGUUAAAAAAAGGAAUACUUCAGACAGUUGGAAAAAGCGAAAUGAUAGCACCCUAUCGCUCUGACGUCAUUUAUCGCUUAGUUACGCUUUUAAAAUGUAUAAAGCGGUAUAGACCGUCACACUUGCGCUACUAAAAAUUAAUACGUUGUCGCUAUUGACUGCUGUACGUAAAAAUUGUCCUUUAAAGACACUAUAAAAAUAGCGUUCAUUGUCCUUGUAAAUAUGUUAACAUUUAUUACUUUCGAGGUAUUUUGUAUGCCUGUCUCAGGAAGUUGAAAAAUGGAAAAAUUUCAAGUUUGUUUGUAAGCGCUAGCGACUAGAUUAUAAACACCAAGAUAUUAUUAGAAUAGCGUUUCCUUGUAAAGCGAUAAGUACAAUACAUGUUUUUAAAUGUACUGUUUUCAUGAAGAUGGAGAACACUGAUAUAUUAAAAAUAUAGAAUACGAUCUCAAUAAAUAAUUCUCUUUGUAUAAGUAACAGAUA